rnacentral:rRNA from 1 species
GACGAACGCUGGCGGCGUGCUUAACACAUGCAAGUCGAACGGAAAGGCCCCUUUGGGGGUACUCGAGUGGCGAACGGGAGCGUAACACGUGAGUAACCUGCCCUUGACUUCGGGAUAACUUCAGGAAACUGGGGCCAAUACCGGAUAGGAAUCCUUGCUGCAUGGUGGGGGUUGGAAAGCUACGGCGGUUUUGGAUGGACUCGCGGCUUAUCAGCUUGUUGGUGGGGUAGUGGCUUACCAAGGCUUUGACGGGUAGCCGGCCUGAGAGGGCGACCGGCCGCAUUGGGACUGAGAUACGGCCCAGACUCCUACGGGAGGCAGCAGUGGGGAAUAUUGCACAAGGGGCGGAAGCCUGAUGCAGCAACGCCGCGUGCGGGAUGACGGCCUUCGGGUUGUAAACCGCUUUCAGCAGGGGCGAAGCUUGUGGUGACGGUACCUGCAGAAGAAGCACCGGCUAACUACGUG